UGAAGGCUCAGGUACUCUUGGACUU
rnacentral:piRNA from 1 species